UUUGGAGGAUCAAGAGCGACCAAGCAAGGAUUCCAGUGUGGAAACACAUCAAUAUUCUUCUUGUAAUCAUGCUUUCUUUCAUUUUAUUUGAUGUAAUUUCUGAAUUUGCAAUGUCUAGCUAAAUUCUCAUGAUUGGUCCUUAGGUGAUUCUAAUUACUUUUGAUCUUGAAUUAUGUGAUUGUCAUAUGAUAUGAUUAAUGAAUUACGAAGUUAGUUUCUAUUGAUUGUUCUUUGUGCUUAAUGCUUUGUAUGAAUU
rnacentral:lncRNA from 1 species